rfam:Stegodyphus mimosarum contig96324, whole genome shotgun sequence.
GUCUUCGUCGUGUAAUGGUCGGCACACUCGGCGCGUAUUCGAGAGGUCCCAGGUUCGACUCCCGGCGAGGACA